rnacentral:piRNA from 1 species
UCCUUGAGAGUACAUUUCUGGCCAGGCGU